AUUGAACGCUGGCGGCAGGCUUAACACAUGCGAGUCGAGCGGAGAUGAGGUGCUUGCACCUUAUCUUAGCGGCGGACGGGUGAGUAAUGCUUAGGAAUCUGCCUAUUAGUGGGGGACAACAUUCCGAAAGGAAUGCUAAUACCGCAUACGUCCUACGGGGGAAAGCAGGGGAUCUUCGGACCCUGCGCUAAUAGAUGAGCCUAAGUCGGAUUAGCUAGUUGGUGGGGUAAAGGCCUACCAAGGCGACGAUCUGUAGCGGGUCUGAGAGGAUGAUCCGCCACACUGGGACUGAGACACGGCCCAGACUCCUACGGGAGGCAGCAGUGGGGAAUAUUGGACAAUGGGGGGAACCCUGAUCCAGCCAUGCCGCGUGUGUGAAGAAGGCCUUGUGGUUGUAAAGCACUUUAAGCGAGGAGGAGGCUACUGAGACUAAUACUCUUGGAUAGUGGACGUUACUCGCAGAAUAAGCACCGGCUAACUCUGUGCCAGCAGCCGCCGUAACAC
rnacentral:rRNA from 1 species